rnacentral:rRNA from 1 species
GAAUGCAGGCAUGAGUAGCGUGUGACGGGUGGGAAUCCCGUCCGCCGAUUAUCCAAGGGUUCCAGGGUCAAGUUUGUCUGCCCUGGGUGAGUCGGGUCCUAAGGCGAGGCCGACAGGCGUAGUCGAUGGGUAACCAGUUGAUAUUCUGGUACCGGCUUGUCACCGUCCGUGUCGAGGUGUGUGAUGCUAAGCAUGUGAGCUUGUCUUGGGAGUGUUUUUGAUGCUUCUGGGGUGGGUGAGUGUGUGAACCGAUCAUGUAG